rnacentral:misc_RNA from 1 species
GAAAUAGAGAAAAGAGAUGAAAAGAAGUGAAUUUUUUUAUUAUAUUAUUUAAUUAUUUUAUGCGAGGAAAUUAAUAAAAAAAAAUAAGUUCAAAAUAAAUAAAAGCAUUAGUAAAUAAGGGUUUUAUUAAAAAAAAAAAUAGUUUGAUUACUAGAAACUACAACAGAUGGCUCCUCUAGUACUGGUGUCAGUACUGGUGAUGAAUUUUCU